rnacentral:lncRNA from 1 species
CUGACACUUGAAAUAUAUCUUCUCUGUCUAACAUGUAAUGUAGUCUCAGGUCACGUGGCAGGAGUUUUUUCCAGUGUGUUCCUCAGGGUGCCUGUUUAGGAUGAAGCACAAGAUGCCCCUCCUUUGCUUCCCUGCCUGUCCUUCAAAAACUGUUAAUGACUACUAACUCAUUAAUAGUUAAUAGUCUAUUAACUAUAGUCUAUUGACUAUUAACCCCAUUAAUAUGGGGGUAGGAUUAAGCAGGACCUAAUGAAUUUAGUCCAUUUAGAUGAUAUCUAAAUGGAAUAGUUGAGUUGGGGGAUUUUUUGCCAGUGUCUUUUAUCUGUUGUUAUUUAAGGCUUUCAGAACAGCAAGGGCAAUGAGCUUGCAAGAGAGCCUCUAAUCAUUAAUAGUUAAAACUUGCUGAAAUAAAAAGUUUCUUUC